rnacentral:rRNA from 1 species
GACGAACGCUGGCGGCGUGCUUAACACAUGCAAGUCGAACGGAAAGGCCCUGCUUUUGUGGGUUUCUCGAGUGGCGAACGGGUGAGUAACACGUGAGUAACCUGCCCUUGACUUUGUGAUAACUUCAGGAAACUGGGGCUAAUACCGGAUAUGAUCUCCUGCUGCAUGUUGUGCGUUGGAAAGUUUCGGCGGUUGUGGAUGUACUCGCGGCUUAUCAGCUUGUUUGUGGGGUAGUGGCUUACCAAGGGUUUGACGGGUAGCCGGCCUGAGAGGGUGACCGGCCACAUUGGGACUGAGAUACGGCCCAGACUCCUACGGGAGGCAGCAGGGGGGAAUAUUGCAGAAUGGGCGGAAGCCUGAUGCAGAAACGCCGCGUGCGGGAUGACGGCCUUCGGGUUGUAAACCGCUGUCGACGGUGACGAAGAGGGAGUGACGGUAAUGGGUAAAGAAGCACCGGCUAACUACGUG